GACGAACGCUAGCGGCGUGCUUAACACAUGCAAGUCGUACGGUAAGGCCCUUUCGGGGGUACACGAGCGGCGAACGGGUGGGUAACACGAGGGUAACCUGCCCACAACUUAGGGAUAACGCCAGGAAACUGGAGCUAAUACUGGCAAUGUGUACCUGCUGCAUGGUGGGGGUUGGGAAGCUCCGGCGGUUGUGGGUGGGCUCGCGGCCUAUCAGCUGGUUGGUGGGGUAGUGGCUUACCAAGGCGGCGACGUGUCGCCGGCCAGUGAGGGUGACCGGCCACACUGGGACCGAGGGAAGGCACAGGCACCGACGGGAGGCAGCAGGGCGGAAUAUUGCACGAGGGGCGCAAGGCUGGUGCAGCAGGGCCGCGGGCGGGAUGACGGCCUUCGGGUUGAAAACCGCGUUCAGCAGGGACGAAGCUUUUUGUGACGGUACCUGCAGAAGAAGCACCGGCUAACUACGUG
rnacentral:rRNA from 1 species